GACGCGACUUUUAACAUUUACGCAAAUCGUUUACACGCAUUUGUUUGUGGUACGUACAAGCUAAAUAUCGUUAACUAUAUAGUAAAAGAAAUAUAAUGUUAUUUACUUACAAAUUUGCGAUCAAUUCUUUGCGGGUACCGACAGCUAGUCACCCUAAUCGCAAGUAAAACUCAAACACGAGUCAUCGAACAUUGGAGGCUUUCUGUUGUCAUUCUUUUUUCUCGAUUUACACGUAAUCUAUAUCUGAUAUGGACGUAAUGUAUACAUAUAUAUGUAUAUAUACACAUAUACAGAGAGCACAGUCGCACGCACAGGGGUAAAAACGAGUAUAUGCAGAUUAAAAUAAAAGAAUAUCAAUUGUUAAACUGUACGAAAAUAAAUUGGAACACGCAUAUUGAAAACUUCUGCGCAACAUAGCAUGGCUUCUUCACACGGCUUUUACGAGCGUUCCGACACGUUGCUUCGAAACCCUUUUAUCCUUCGAUCGAAUAGACCAUAGAUGGCGUAAUAGGCUUCCGAGGAAACGCCUGAAAAACCAUUGAUUCGUUUAUUAAAAUAUUGAAAUACACAUUAAAUAUGGGUAAAUUACAGGUAGAAAUCAUCAAAGCUAUUGAAAAAUGCUCAAUAUUUAUCGUCGCAUAGAUGCCAAUAAUCGAUUUAGGAAAAUCACGCUUAUUUUAUUCGAUAUAAGUGAUUAACAAAAUAUUAUUCCAGCAUUAUUCGAAUAAUUAAAUAAUGUAUACAUCGAAAAUUGCAAUAAGUAAAUAUUCAUUGAUUACGUUUGAUCAUUCGAAUGUCGUAAAUCUGAAGUGUUUGAGACGAAGCGUGAAUAAUCACUGCGAUCGUAUGUAGAGAAAGAUCGAAUUGGAGUCGAAGGCAAUGGAGAUCCUAAAAACAAAUACCUAUAAAAACUUGGAACACGUAUUAACGAUACAAGCGAAGUAAAGAUUCGAAUGAAAACAUUCUAGCAGGGAAUUCUCGUCAAAAGUAUUAAGUAAAAAUUACAAAUGCAAUAUUAAAAGGAGAUCUUUACAAAAGGAGGCAGAUUUGCAUAAAUCUCAUUUAAAAUUUACAAAUAAAAUAUACAAUUUACAAGAAAGUAAUCUACGUAGCGUACAGUAAGUGACAAUUUAUCAUAGAUGCAACGACUUCUGUUUUAAACGCAACUGUUAGAUUUUUUAAUGAUGUAAUCUAACUAUACAGUUCUACGGUGAAAAAACAAUGUCUGGACCAACUGAGAAUGUACGAUAAAACUAUUAAAAUGCUUUAUACCUGUGAAAUAGCUCUUUUGAGAGAUAAAGAGGGCCUUGAAAAAGAUUAUGCUAUUAUUCAGGAUCAGCUUUUCGAACAACUUAUUUUGUAUAAUCAGUUGAAAGAAGAACGGGAAACGAAUGCAAUGAGAGCUUCUUUAGCAAAGCUAGAACAUUUUCGUUUAAAUCGUGCCGCAAAAAUUAUCCAGCAGAGUUGGAGAUCUUACUGUCAACGUGCAUUCUCAAGGAGAAAAAAAGGCAGAAAAUAAUACGUUUACGCGGCUUUCGUGUUCCAAACUUAAUGUACUCUUAGUAUAUAUAUAGUUGUCAAUUAUGUUACAUCAAUUGUGAUCAUUUAUACGAUAGUAUAGAAAGAUAAUGACGUAAUUUCCGUCGCCUAGAGGUUCUAGAAGAAAGCCGCCGCCUGUUUGAUCGUAACCAUGUCGCAGCAUGAAAAAUGACAUCGCUCGAGACAUUUACAGCCGUCUACCGUCGCGGUAUCGUUUCCGAUGUUGCGACAUUGUCGCGACCGAGCAGGUUAGCGACUUUCCUUUCGGACCUUUAACGAGAGGAUAACUCUCUAUUAGGCACGGAUAUAUUAUAUACAUUAUUCGGUAUUAUGCUGUCACGACUUGAUAAUUAUUUUUCAAUGAAUAAUUACUACGAUGCGACUGCAUCGAUCGAUUUCAGCUUUCUGACUUUUUCACCGUGUAUGGUCUUGAUUUCGACUGUACUAACUGUACAUGUACUCGCGUUUGAUUUUACAUUUAAGAGAAUUCACGCCUUUCUUUGAUAUCCAUUGAACGUGCACGCGUUAUUAUUACGUGUUGUUGUUGCAAUAUUAUUAUUUAUUCUUUCAAAGAUAUACACUUGAAAUAACGUGAAUACAUUAGCUCGAAGAACUACAAUGAAACGACUGCAACGAGGGAAGAAUUGCAGUGAAAUGAAACAUGUAAUGGAAAGAAUGGAAUAGGAAUAGGAAUGGGAAUGGGAAUGGGAAUGGGAAUGGGAAUGGGA